rnacentral:sRNA from 1 species
AAGGUCUGGGCUACCGGCGCGGCGUAGUGGAUGCAGCAUCCUAGUUGAGGACGCCCCGCUGUUGCUGAACCUGUUUGCUUGAGUUGCUCCUGACGGCCCUUUAGGAUACUUCCGUGUCUGUAGGGUCUACAGUGACAUCUCCUCCCCUCCCCUGACGAGAUCUGCCCUCCUUGGCACUGUGCUUCCCCAGAGGGGUGGCCUCGCUGUUCCCAUGGACAUGGCCCAGGAGCCAGUGACCUUCAGGGACGUGGCCAUCUACUUCUCAAGGGAGGAGUGGGCGUGUCUGGAACCCAGCCAGAGGACCCUCUACCGGGACGUGAUGCUGGACAACUUCAGCAGUGUGGCUGCUCUGGGAUUUUGCAGCCCCAGACCGGACCUCGUCUCUCGCCUGGAACAGUGGGAGGAGCCGUGGGUUGAAGACCGGGAGAGACCUGAGCUCCAGGCAGUGCGGAGGGGACCCCGGCCAGGUGAGUGCUGGGCUGUCUGGGCUCAGCUGGCCCCGUCCCUGUGGCCCACAGCUCCUGGGUAGUGCUCAGCACGCUGCAGUGACCAAGGGUGUGUCCUU